rnacentral:rRNA from 1 species
UACGGGAGGCAGCAGUGGGGAAUAUUGCGCAAUGGGGGAAACCCUGACGCAGCGACGCCGCGUGUAGGAAGAAGGCUUUCGGGUCGUAAACUACUGUCAGGAGGGAAGAAACUGUUUGGGUAUAAUACGCCCAUUCACUGACGGUACCUCCAGAGGAAGCACCGGCUAACUCCGUGCCAGCAGCCGCGGUAAUACGGAGGGUGCGAGCGUUAAUCGGAAUCACUGGGCGUAAAGCGUGCGUAGGCGGCGCAUCAAGUCAGACGUGAAAGCCCUCGGCUCAACCGAGGAAUUGCGUUUGAAACUGAUGUGCUAGAGUCUCGGAGAGGUUAGGGGAAUUCCAGGUGUAGGAGUGAAAUCCGUAGAUAUCUGGAGGAACACCGGUGGCGAAGGCGCCUAACUGGACGAGUACUGACGCUGAGGUACGAAAGCGUGGGGAGCAAMCAGGAUUAGAUACCCUGGUAGUCCACSCMGURAACGAUGGAUAUUAGGUGUCGGGGUUAACACUUCGGUGCCGCAGUAACGCG